UUGCUAUGGCAGCACAUACACUAAAACUGGAAAUGAAUAGGGAAGAUUAGCAUGGCCCCUGUGCAUAGAUGACACGCAAAUUCAUGAAGCAUUCCUUUUUUGU
ensembl:snRNA U6 U6 spliceosomal RNA